CCAUCGUCCCAUGGGGCGAGGGUCUGGGGCACUCACGUGGUGGGAAAGUUUCGAGGUAGCAAAAGUGGUCUGGCAUCGCAGGGCGUGUGUGUGUGUGUGUGGGGGGUAGAACCUUUUCGCCCCUCCUCGCCAAGACAGAAAGAGAAAGAGCGGAGGGAAGAGGGGGUGAGGGGAGGACCAAGCAGCACCGACCUGCAGAAUCCGCCUCCCCCUCCGCCCCCGGGAAGCCCGAGCAGGGAGGCGCGGACCGUCUCCUCCCGCACGCCCCGGACGACACUCCCCCCCCCUUUUUUUUUCCUGCCAACGUCUAUCUCAACGCGCGCGCACAUACGGAGAUUGUGCGGCUUUUUUACCCCUCGGGGAAAAAAGAACAGGGAGUGGAAAGGAAGAGAAGGCAAAGCGAAGAACUCCUCCUCGGGCGCGCUCUGCACUCUGAGCCACGGCUGGUCGCGGGGACGCUGCUGCCACCGCCGCCUAGCUCUCUCCCCGGCCUUGCGGCGUGUGCCAGUGGGAGCGCGAACCAGGGCACUCGAUCCCGGGGACACAGAGAGACUUUUGGUCGCCACUGCCGCGGCAGGCAGAAGAGACAGCAGCGAGAAGGGCCCUGCCACCGCCUUUCCUUCCUCCGCCGCCCCGGCCGGCCCGUGCAGGCAGCCAGGCGCAGGGAAGCCAGGAGGAGCAGAGGCCCGGGAGAAGCGCGCCGCGGCCCGCCCGCCCGUGGAUGCAGCGCCCGGGGGAGCCUGGAGACAACUUUGCCGGGUGACGCGCCGGGAGGACUGCAGGGCCCGCGGCCCAGGAGGGCUCGGCGCCGCCUGUAAGAGGGGCCCGCGCGGCGGCGCUCCCCCGCACCGCGCUCGCUCCUCCCGCCGGCCCGGAGCAGGGGGGAACGACCUGCCCAUCAUCGCCGCCGCCUCGGGCGGGAGGCCCUGUCCUCGCUCCGAGCAGCGACAGGGCGAGGUGCUCAGGUGCGGUCGCGGGGCCCCAGCCGCAGCGCCCUCUGCAGCGCCGCGCCCCGGGGGCUCUGGCACCUUCGCUUCGGUCUCCAGAGCGAGUUGCGUCCACUGCUUCUCCUCUCCACCUUUCCAGCCCAGGCGAGCCAAGCCACCGCGCCAGAGCCACUGCCGCCGCUCACCGCUUUCGCUUCACCCGAUUGGGGGGCUGCGGUGGCCCUCGACGCGGAGAGGAUGGGCAGGCUGCAGAUGCCUAGGCGCCCCGAGACGCCCGAGCGCCAGUGACCCGGCGGUCCCCCCCCCAAAAAAAGCCCGCGCGCCCCUCUGGUCCCGCGGCGCCCCUUCUCGGCCGCGCGGAACCCCCGCGGCCCGGCCGGCCCCCUCCCCUGCGAGCCGGCGGCGGGCCCCGGCAGCGGGGGCGGGCGGAGGGGCGGGGCGGGGCGGGCGCCCGGAGCCCGGAGCCCGGCCCUGA
rnacentral:lncRNA from 1 species